rnacentral:rRNA from 1 species
GACGAACGCUGGCGGCGUGCUUAACACAUGCAAGUCGAACGGAAAGGCCCUGCGUUUGUGGGGUGCUCGAGUGGCGAACGGGUGAGUAACACGUGAGUAACCUGCCCUUGACUUUGGGAUAACUUCAGGAAACUGGGGCUAAUACCGGAUAGGAGCUCCUGCUGCAUGGAGGGGGUUGGAAAGUUUCGGCGGUUGGGGAUGGACUCGCGGGUUAUCAGCUUGUUGGUGGGGGAGUGGCUUACCAAGGCUGUGACGGGUAGCCGGCCGGAGAGGGUGACCGGCCUCAUUGGGACUGCGAUACGGCCCAGUCUCGUACGGGAGGCAGCAGUGGGGAAUAUUGCACAAUGGGCGGAAGCCUGUUGCAGCAACGCCGCGUGCGGGAUGACGGCCUUCGGGUUGUAAACCGCUUUCGCCUGUGACGAAGCGUGAGUGACGGUACUGGGUAAAGAAGCACCGGCUAACUACGUG